rnacentral:rRNA from 1 species
GUCCACGCCGUAACGUUGGCGCUAGGUGUGGGUCCUUCCACGGCCUCCGUGCCGCAGCUAACGCAUUAAGCGCCCGCCUGGGGAGUACGGCCGCAAGGCUAAACUCAAAGGAAUUGACGGGCCCGCACAAGCGGCGGAGCAUGUGGCUUAAUUCGAGGCAACGCGAAGAACCUUACCUAGGCUUGACAUGUGCAGAAAUCCGGCAGAGACGUCGGGUCCGCAAGGGCUGCACACAGGUGGUGCAUGGUUGUCGU